GGGGUCACUAUAUCAGUAAUUCUGACUUUUGGUUCUGCUGCUGCCUUUGAUUUUCCUGUAAAGGCCUGUGUUUUUUUCAGUCUCCUGUUCUGUAAUUCGGCACCUCAGCAUGUGUUGAUAUGGGUGGUGGAUAAGCUAUGUAUUCAGGGCAGGCAAAAAGCUGUCAGCUAUCUGCAGUGUCCCAGAGUCUCUACUUGAUCUUAUGCUCUGACCUCUCCGUGACACUUGUCUGACUUUCCCCUUUGGGCCAAUGCCACCCCAUCAAAAAGGAGAGCUUAUGAGACCAUCUACAUGUAAGAACCAGGGGAAGAAAGAUAAGAGAGGAUAAUAGGAUGCACAGGACUUUGCAGGACACCUGGGCAGGAUCUUGCUGAGCUGAU